AUCCAGUUGAUGAGUCCCAAAUAGGACGAAACGCUCGUUUUGGAU
rnacentral:hammerhead_ribozyme from 1 species